AUGCUGGAGGUAUCAGAAGUGCGAAUGCUGACAUAAGUAACGAUAAAGCGGGUGAAAAGCCCGCUCGCCGGAAGACCAAGGGUUCCUGUCCAACGUUAAUCGGGGCAGGGUGAGUCGACCCCUAAGGCGAGGCCGAAAGGCGUAGUCGAUGGGAAACAGGUUAAUAUUCCUGUACUUGGUGUUACUGCGAAGGGGGGACGGAGAAGGCUAUGUUGGCCGGGCGACGGUUGUCCCGGUUUAAGCGUGUAGGCUGGUUUUCCAGGCAAAUCCGGAAAAUCAAGGCUGAGGCGUGAUGACGAGGCACUACGGUGCUGAAGCAACAAAUGCCCUGCUUCCAGGAAAAGCCUCUAAGCAUCAGGUAACAUCAAAUCGUACCCCAAACCGACACAGGUGGUCAGGUAGAGAAUACCAAGGCGCUUGAGAGAACUCGGGUGAAGGAACUAGGCAAAAUGGUGCCGUAACUUCGGGAGAAGGCACGCUGAUAUGUAGGUGAAGUCCCUCGCGGAUGGAGCUGAAAUCAGUCGAAGAUACCAGCUGGCUGCAACUGUUUAUUAAAAACACAGCACUGUGCAAACACGAAAGUGGACGUAUACGGUGUGACGCCUGCCCGGUGCCGGAAGGUUAAUUGAUGGGGUUAGCCGCAAGGCGAAGCUCUUGAUCGAAGCCCCGGUAAACGGCGGCCGUAACUAUAACGGUCCUAAGGUAGCGAAAUUCCUUGUCGGGUAAGUUCCGACCUGCACGAAUGGCGUAAUGAUGGCCAGGCUGUCUCCACCCGAGACUCAGUGAAAUUGAACUCGCUGUGAAGAUGCAGUGUACCCGCGGCAAGACGGAAAGACCCCGUGAACCUUUACUAUAGCUUGACACUGAACAUUGAGCCUUGAUGUGUAGGAUAGGUGGGAGGCUUAGAAGUGUGGACGCCAGUCUGCAUGGAGCCGACCUUGAAAUACCACCCUUUAAUGUUUGAUGUUCUAACGUUGACCCGUAAUCCGGGUUGCGGACAGUGUCUGGUGGGUAGUUUGACUGGGGCGGUCUCCUCCUAAAGAGUAACGGAGGAGCACGAAGGUUGGCUAAUCCUGGUCGGACAUCAGGAGGUUAGUGCAAUGGCAUAAGCCAGCUUGACUGCGAGCGUGACGGCGCGAGCAGGUGCGAAAGCAGGUCAUAGUGAUCCGGUGGUUCUGAAUGGAAGGGCCAUCGCUCAACGGAUAAAAGGUACUCCGGGGAUAACAGGCUGAUACCGCCCAAGAGUUCAUAUCGACGGCGGUGUUUGGCACCUCGAUGUCGGCUCAUCACAUCCUGGGGCUGAAGUAGGUCCCAAGGGUAUGGCUGUUCGCCAUUUAAAGUGGUACGCGAGCUGGGUUUAGAACGUCGUGAGACAGUUCGGUCCCUAUCUGCCGUGGGCGCUGGAGAACUGAGGGGGGCUGCUCCUAGUACGAGAGGACCGGAGUGGACGCAUCACUGGUGUUCGGGUUGUCAUGCCAAUGGCACUGCCCGGUAGCUAAAUGCGGAAGAGAUAAGUGCUGAAAGCAUCUAAGCACGAAACUUGCCCCGAGAUGAGUUCUCCCUGACCCUUUAAGGGUCCUGAAGGAACGUUGAAGACGACGACGUUGAUAGGCCGGGUGUGUAAGCGCAGCGAUGCGUUGAGCUAACCGGUACUAAUGAACCGUGAGGCUUAACCUU
rnacentral:rRNA from 1 species